CCUACGGGUGGCAGCAGUGAGGAAUAUUGGUCAAUGGGCGAGAGCCUGAACCAGCCAAGUCGCGUGAGGGAGUACUGCCCUAUGGGUUGUAAACCUCUUUUGUCGGGGAGCAAAAGCCGGACGUGUCCGGCUGUGAGAGUACCCGAAGAAAAGGCAUCGGCUAACUCCGUGCCAGCAGCCGCGGUAAUACGGAGGAUGCGAGCGUUAUCCGGAUUUAUUGGGUUUAAAGGGUGCGCAGGCGGAUUUUUAAGUCAGCGGUAAAAUCGUGGGGCUCAACCCCAUCCAGCCGUUGAAACUGGGGAUCUAGAGUGUGCGAGAGGUAUGCGGAAUGCGUGGUGUAGCGGUGAAAUGCAUAGAUAUCACGCAGAACCCCGAUUGCGAAGGCAGCAUACCGGUGCACAACUGACGCUCAGGCACGAAAGCGUGGGUAUCGAACAGGAUUAGAUACCCUUGUAGUC
rnacentral:rRNA from 1 species